rnacentral:tRNA from 1 species
CUCCUGAUGAUAGCUCAGUGGUUAGAGCGUCCAACCGGCACCUGGAAGGUCAUGGGUUCGAUUCCCGUUGGGGAGC